ensembl:lncRNA
CCUGGCCCACCAUUCAGCACACCUGUUUGCGUUUGUGCUAUGAUCUGUGUGUUUGCUUUCUUUCGCUGCAUUAUAUUUGCCUUUGAUUAAUGAUUAAAACAAAACCAUCAUGGGUGUCUUAAUGCCUCCUUCCGCAGAGAGGAGAGCCUGCAGCAAGCUUGCCUUGGUGACGCAACUCCAGUGGUGAAGAGGAGGCUCAGGGGCUCCUGAAAGGAGGCAGUAAUGAAGUGAGGGUUGGCCUCUUCUCCCAGCACCAACGUGGGCUGCUUGGACAUCCAGACACGGCUCCAGGGCUGCUGCGGUCUGCAAAUCCACCCAAGAGACUCAGGAAAUUUUGCCAGAUGGAACUCUCAGAAAAACCAGCAGUUGUGGACAAGGGGCCUUCAGGCCUGAGUUGAGGUCUGCUCCUUUUACCAAGCCAAACCAGAAAGCCCCAGUUUCUGGACAGUCCAUAUGGCAGAGCUGUGGAGGCUGGGACAUGAAAAGCCUGGUAAACUUGCUUCUCCAGUCCUCCAGAAGCCUACUUGAUGGGGUAUCAAGAAGUGGGUGUACAAAUAUAGAUGGGGACAACCUCUGAUGAGAUUAUGGCAAUUUUCAGGCAAAACUAAUUUUCUUUUUGAAGAACUGAGUGUGUGGAAAACAAAUGUUCUGUGCAAAAUGAAAGUAAAGUACUUUAUUCUCCAGCUGAGAACAUUCAG